rnacentral:rRNA from 1 species
AUUGAACGCUGGCGGCAGGCUUAACACAUGCAAGUCGAGCGGGGAAAGGUAGCUUGCUACCUGACCUAGCGGCGGACGGGUGAGUAAUGCUUAGGAAUCUGCCUAUUAGUGGGGGACAACAUUCCGAAAGGAAUGCUAAUACCGCAUACGCCCUACGGGGGAAAGCAGGGGAUCUUCGGACCUUGCGCUCAUAGAUGAGCCUAAGUCAGAUUAGCUCGUUGGUGGGGUAAAGGCCUACCAAGGCGACGAUCUGUAGCGGGUCUGAGAGGAUGAACCGGCACACCGGGACUGAGAAACGGCGCAGACUCCUACGGGAGGCAGCAGUGGGGAAGAUUGGACAAUGGGCGAAUGCCUGAUCCAGCCAUGCCGCGUGGGUGAAGAAGGCCUUUUGGUUGUAAAGCGCUUUAAGCGAGGAGGAGGCUACUUGGAUUAAUACUCUAGGAUAGUAGACGUUACUCGCAGAAUAAGCACCGGCUAACUCUGUGCCAGCCGCCGCGGUAAAAC